rnacentral:rRNA from 1 species
GAUGAACGCUGGCGGCGUGCCUAAUACAUGCAAGUCGAGCGAACAGACGAGGAGCUUGCUCCUCUGACGUUAGCGGCGGACGGGUGAGUAACACGUGGAUAACCUACCUAUAAGACUGGGAUAACUUCGGGAAACCGGAGCUAAUACCAGAUAAUAUAUUGAACCGCAUGGUUCAAUAGUGAAAGACGGUUUUGCUGUCACUUAUAGAUGGAUCCGCGCCGCAUUAGCUAGUUGGUAAGGUAACGGCUUACCAAGGCAACGAUGCGUAGCCGACCUGAGAGGGUGAUCGCCCACACUGGAACUGAGACACGGUCCAGACUCCUACGGGAGGCAGCAGUAGGGAAUCUUCCGCAAUGGGCGAAAGCCUGACGGAGCAACGCCGCGUGAGUGAUGAAGGUCUUCGGAUCGUAAAACUCUGUUAUUAGGGAAGAACAAAUGUGUAAGUAACUAUGCACGUCUUGACGGUACCUAAUCAGAAAGCCACGGCUAACUACGUG